GCGCAGCAGUCGCGAAAACUCCGCAAUACGCGAAAGCGUGACGGGGCCACCCCGAGUGCCGUCCGCUGAGGACGGCUUUUCCACGCUGUAAGGAGCCGUGGGAAUAAGGAGAGGGCAAGUCUGGUGUCAGCCGCCGCGGUAAUACCAGCUCUCCGAGUGGUAGGGACGAUUAUUGGGCUUAAAGCGUCCGUAGCCGGCUCGGCAAGUCUCCCGUUAAAUCCAACGAUUCAAUCGUUGGACUGCGGGAGAUACUGUUGAGCUAGGAGGCGGGAGAGGCCGACGGUAUUCCCGGAGUAGGGGUGAAAUCCUAUAAUCCCUGGAAGACCACCAGUGGCGAAGGCGGUCGGCUAGAACGCGCCCGACGGUGAGGGAUGAAAGCUGGGGGAGCGAACCGGAUUAGAUACCCGGGUAGUCC
rnacentral:rRNA from 1 species